GAGGGACCCUGGCCUCGGGGGAGAAAGCCUCCCGGGCGGCGCUUCCCUUCUCCUCCCGCUUCCCGACCCCUUCCUCCUCCUCCUCCUCCUCCUCCAUGGAGGGCAGUAUAAGGGCCAGGCUUUGCUCGCACUGGGGAAGCGACCCCCUUGUUGUGCUGCCGCCGGCCAUGUGGCUCCUGCGGCUCUGCCUCUUCGCCCUGACGGGAGCCGGACCUCUGGCCGGACCGACGCCGAGGGGCCCAACCACGCCGGGCCCGAGCCCUUCCGCCUUUGCCCAGUGCCUGGAAGGGGCCUGCUUCGCCUUGUUUUGGGCGCCUCGGACUUUCCCUGAGGCCAGCCUGGAGUGCCAAGCCAACGGCGGCCACCUCAUGAGCGUCCGCUCCACCGUGGCCGCCGAGGCCAUCGCCCUCCUCUUCCAGAGGGGCUCCGCAGCGGGGAGGGCUUGGCUGGGCUUGCGGCUGCCGGAGGGCUCCUGUCGGGAGGCGGGGAAGCGUCUGAGAGGCUUCCAGUGGGUCUCCGGCGAGGAGCGGAGCGACUACGCGGCCUGGGCCGACUCCGUUGGGGCAGAGGAGGACCCUCUUUGUGGGGGAGCCCCCCUUUGCGUGGUAGUAACCCCGGGGCUGCUGUGGGAGGAGCAGCGCUGCCAGUCUCCCGCCGAGGGCUUCCUCUGCGAGUACAGCUACCCAGGCGGCACCUGCGGCCCCUUGAACCCAGGACCCGCCGCCUCGGAGCAGGAAGAGGAGGAGGAGAUGCUGGUGGUCUACCGGACCCCCUUCGGCGCCCGGGAGAGCGACCUUCUGGCCUUGCCCCCCGGGAGCAGCGCCCUUCUGCCCAACCUGGGCCUCUCCCUCGAGUGCAGGCCCCAGCCAGAGGGCUCUCCCAAGUGGGCCUCCGCUUCCCGGGGGGCCUGGGACUGUCGGCUGGAGAACGGCGGCUGCCAGGGCCACUGCCACUCCGGCGGAGAACAAGGGCAGCCUUACUGCUCCUGCCCCGAGGGCAGCGCUUUGCUGGAGGAGGACCGACGGGGCUGCGGCUCCCCUUGCGCCCUUUUGGGCUGCGAACACCACUGCGUCCCCGAGGGCCCCUCUUCUUCCUCGGCCAGCUGCAUGUGCUGGGAAGGGUUCGCCUUAGCCGAGGACGGCCGGCGCUGCCUCGACGUCGACGACUGCCAAGCCGAGCCGGGCCCCUGCGAGCAGGAGUGCCUCAACACGGAGGGGGGCUUCCGCUGCCUCUGCUUCCCGGGCUUCGAGGAGGUGGAAGGCAAGUGCCAGGCGGUGCCCAACUGGGGCUGCUUCGACCUGGGCUGCCAGCAGGACUGCGCCGUCGUCGGAGGGAGCCCCCGCUGCCUCUGCUUCGAGGGCUACGCGCCGGACCCCGAGAAGCCCCAGCAGUGCCUCAUGGUCUGCAACCAGAGCCAGUGCCCGCCCCGAUGCGACCCCCACACCGGCCACGACUGCCACUGCCCUAACGGCUUCAUCCUCGACGUGAGAGACGACGACAGCAAAGUCUGCGAAGACAUCAGUGAAUGUGACUCCGGCUACUGCGGGGAACUGGAGUGUGUCAACACCCCAGGCAGCUACUACUGCCUCUGCCCCAAUGGACACUUUGUCCAAGAUGCCAAACUGUGUGAGGAACCAGAAGGGGACAUAGAAGGGUCUGGGGAGAUUGACUUGGACCCCAGGAGCCCAGUUGCCACCCUGGUGCCGCCAAAGGAAGGCAGUCGCCGAGGGAUGCUGGUGGGCACCAUUGUGAGUGCCACCUUGAUGGGGGUGGUGCUAGUCGCCAUCCUGGGCUACUUGGUCAAGAAGCAUCGCUCUGCCCAGUCCAGAAAGGGUGGCACAUGCCAGCAACCUGAGUCUGGGGUGGUGCUGCAGCAUGUCAGCUCAAACAGUGCUUCUCCUGGGCUGAAAAUGUAGCAAGAGGCUUUCUGUUUGAGAGGGGAUGGGAGAGGGUUUAAAAACAAAAACUGAAAAACCCACAAAAAACUAUGGAUGCCAUCCAUGAAAGCCUUUGCCUGGAUCAGAGUAGUUACCAGUUCCAAGGACAAUCCCAGUGCAGAUGUUAUUUUUGUAAUGGCUCUCUGAGGGAACAGUGGAGACAGUUUCCUCCUGAACUUCCUGGAAGUUGUUCCCAGUCCUGGACUGAAAGUAGUGUGGGACUGGAUAAGGUUCGCAAGGGAAGAAACAAGAUGCAGCAGAACAGCAUUCAGACUGCAUUCAGCUAUAACAUUUGUGAUUUGGUUUUUUUUAUCGCCGGGAUGCGUUCAGGCUUCAAAAAUCAAAUUUCUCAUAUACAAACACCCCAAGAUCCACCAAGAAUGUAGUUGAAGACAUGCCUUGAAUAGUUCAGAGCCUGGAGAUUUGCACCAGAACUGAACAGAGCUCACAGUUCCUCUGCCUCAAUCUUCGUUUUCUUUUUUUCCAUUAAUAUAAUUUAAAAGUUGGGAGAGCUAACUUUGUUCCUUCCUUCCUUCCUUCCUUCCUUCCUUCUUUCUUUCUUUUGCUGUUGUUAAAACAAUUGGGAGCCAAAAUGUUUGUGGAUCUGCAGAUUCUCCAUGCAUCCUAGACCUUUGAUCUACCUUCUGUCCACCCCUGAUCUAUCAAAGACAAUGUUAUACCAACAUUUAAAACUGAGGAAACCUGGUGAUCUGGAACAGCUAAUAAUAGCCCCUUCUUCUAAAACUGACUUUUGUGAGGAGCUCUCUUGUUCUCCCCAAAAACAUUUUAAAACCAAGGUGUUUGCAAUAUCCAUAGUUUAAUAUUCUAUGCAAUGUUCCUGGCAUGUUUUGAGUCUCCUUCGGGCAUCUGAAAUAAGUAAUUGCCUGCAAAGUUUGUGUCAAAUCAACCAUCUCGGAUCAACAACACACACUACUGAAAGAUUGACAACACUACUGACAAAUAUGAAGCUGCUCCCCAUGUACAGAAAUAGGUGUCACACAGGAGAUUGCCAUUAUUAGGUUGUACACCAAGUUUGUACCCUGCCACAGUGGGUUUAUGUAUUUGGCGCUCUAGGCAGCACAUCUGCUUUACUGCAGUGUUUGUACUUUUUCCAUUAUGUCAUCCCAAUGAAAUCCCUAUUUCCCCUUUUCAGUUUCAGGCUGUUUUAUUUGUUCUGUGGCAGAUUACUCUAAUUCUGAGAUUUAGAAACAAAAGCUGCUCAUUCCCAGUCUUGGAUCACGUUCCGGUUGGCAUUCAGACACUUUAAUUUGGCUGGAUUAAAUUCCUUUGCUAUGAUGCUUUUUAAUUUUCCUGUUACGAAGAAGCCUUCAGUGGAAAUACAACCAUGUCCUUUCCUUUGCUUUUCAGUAUUAUGUUGGGGAACUCUUGAAAACAAUGGUUUAAUGAUCCCAAAAGGGUCCUUCUUGUUUUUGUAAGCGAGAUAGAAGUAUGUGUACGGUGAGGUUUAAAACUCAUUUUAAACCUAAGGGUAUCAAUUCAAUUUCAGAACAAAGUCUGCUAAGGUUAAGCACUUUGGGGGGAGUUAAGUGUAUCCUGAACUUCCAGGCCUAGAACUUCAUUUAAACUAGUUUCUUCUGAGAUCUUUGUCAUCUCAAGUGCUGCAGUUGCCUCCUUGAAAUGUUACCAUAAAUCUUGAACACUAUAAAACUGGCAUUUUUGAUGCUGAAAGAUGUGACUGUUUUUUUUUUAAAUCACUGUUUUAAAAAAUGUGGGAUGAAUGCGAAGAAUAUUUUUCAUCAUGUCUUGUAAAUUAUGCACAGUUGUAAGUAUUUAUUUAUUUAUGGGAAACAUAUCAUUGCAAAACCAUUUUGCCCUUUCAUAUGUGGAUAAUAAAAUGCAUAUAUAUAUAAGAUUCCAGUGUGGAAAGUUCUUGCCUUCCAGUGUUAA